rnacentral:rRNA from 1 species
GACGAACGCUGGCGGCGUGCCUAAUACAUGCAAGUCGAACGCACAGUUUAUACCGUAGCUUGCUACACCAUAGACUGUGAGUUGCGAGCGGGUGAGUAACGCGUAGGUAACCUGCCUGGUAGCGGGGGAUAACUAUUGGAAACGAUAGCUAAUACCGCAUGAUAUUGAUUAUUGCAUGAUAAUUGAUUGAAAGAUGCUAUUGCAUCACUACCAGAUGGACCUGCGUUGUAUUAGCUAGUAGGUGAGGUAACGGCUCACCUAGGCGGCGAUACAGAGCCGACCUGAGAGGGUGGUCGGCCACACUGGGACUGAGACACGGCCCAGACGCCUACGGGAGGCAGCAGGAGGGGAUCUUCGGCAAUGGACGGAAGACUGAGCGAGCAACGCCGCGUGAGGGAAGAAGGGUUUCGGGUCGGAAAGCUCUGUUGUAAGGGAAGAAAGGGUGUGAGAGUGGAAAGUUCACACUGUGACGGUAACUGAUCAGAAAGCAACGGCUAACUACGUG